AGGAAUUCAUGUUUCUUGUUCUUUCUUCUAUCUAUGAUUGAUGACUUGCAAUAAGAACAAAUCAUCUUUGCAAGGGAGAAGGUGGCAGAGAUUUUUACUAGCAAGUUACUGUUUUUCUGGGAAUGAUACACCAGUUAAAAUUGGCAAAUAUCUGCAUCAUCAGAUAUUGAAGUGUGUGACAGGGAACUCUCUUCUCAGCUCUGCUGACUGCUUUCCUUGUGACCAUGUGAAAGUAAUUUAGCUUUUCAUCUUGGCUUUUUACCACUAGAAAGGAGUUGAGUGUAAGUAAAUAACUGAGAAUGGUUGCUGAUGAAUAGUUUAACAGAAAAUAAUUACUUUUAAUAGUUGGAACAGCCUAAUCCUAAAAUAGAAGUGAGGCAGCAUGUGGCAGGAAAGAAAUAACAUCAAGAAUGUUAAUUUCUAACUGUAAUUUUGGUAAUGAAAUACAUCCUCCGUGCUGGCUGGAGCAUUUGCAGGGUGUGCAUUUUCCUGGCCUCUCUCUGAAUGCUGCUGAUUGCCCAAGUUGUUCCCGAGACUUUCCUCUCACCCAUUCAGGAAAUCUGUACUUACCUGCCUUUCUCUUUCCAUACUCUGUACCACUUGAGCAGUCUCACUGUGUUUUGGCGUUUGGGGUUUAAGCAGUGCUGCUGCUCGCCCCUCACCCGUGUCCACAGAGUCACGCUGCAAUGCAAGACAGCACAGUUACUGGAGUCAUAGAAUUAUGGAAUGGUUUGGGUUAGAAGAGACUUUAAAGCUCACUCAGUUCCAACCCCUGUCAUGGGCAGGGACGACUUCCCCUAGAGCAGGCUGCUCCAAGCCCCUGUGUCCAACCUGGCCUUGAACACUGCCAGGGAUGGGGCAGCCACAGCUUCUCUGGGCACCCUGUGCCAGCGCCUCAGCACCCUCACAGGGAAGAACAUGGGAAUGCUGUCCCUCUGCUCCCACUCCAGGCAAAUGCCCAAAUCAGUCAGGGGGCUCUCACCCAAGUGGGCAGUGAUUUACAUGCUCUUUGUUUUAUAGCAGAUACUUCAGUUCGUUGUAAUAACACCGGAGCAGAUAUUUAGCUACCAUCAAUCAGUGCAGUGCAAUAUUGUCCACCAUUAUACUUAGUUCUUCCACGGGAAGACUUACAUGCUGUUUCUAAUCGAUGGGUUUGCUCUGCCUGUCAGAUAUUGUCUUUAAACUUAAUAGCUGAAUUAAUUAGGGCUCAUUCAGACAACCACAUGGUCUUUGCAUGAGGAUAAGAUUCCUUCAUGCUCACCAAUACGGCAUCCAAAAGAAAAGAUCACACCUGCUUCAUUGAUUGCUUAUUUCUCUUUUUUUUUUUAAGUCCACAGUAUUUUAAACACUUGCACAUAGCAGAGUGCCUGUGUGCCCCAGACCAGCUUUUUUUGUUGCCUGCAUGAGCUCACUUAAAGGUCUCGCCACCAUUUCAAAGUUAUACAAGGUGUUCGGAUAGUUCUUUCCAUUCAGUUACCCUUCCUGCCUACUCCCUUUUCUGCUCUACCUCUAUUGGGUGUAAGCUAAAGUCACGAACAGAUAAGGUGUAAUUUUCAGGUUGGUUUUUGGGGAGGAUGUAGCUUUUUCCCCAAUGCAUAGGCAAGCAGUGGAAGAAUUCCAAAGAGACUCUCUGGCUGCAGGCAUCGGAAAGGGAAGGAUUACUUCUAAAAUCUGUGGACUAUCUCUGUUCUAAGGAUGUUCUCAGCCUCUGGAGAUCAGUACAUGUGUGAGAAGGUGAUUUUUCUUGUAGCUUUCAGUGGGAGUGAAAUCCAUGGUAUGCCAGUUUUAAGGGACUUGAGGUCGGUGCAAAGUUUCUCCAUUCACUAGCCAUGUUCUGGGUUGCACUGUCUGACGCCAGACCUCAGCUUGGGUUUCUCUUCUGACAGACCACAGAGGGUAUUUCCAGAAAGCGAUGGACAAGCCGAUUUGCAGGAGGAGAGGAGCAGGAGCACCUCUGAAAUACAGCAAGCUCUACAUUGGCACUAGAAGCAGUUAAAGGACAAUUCUGGAUUUACUAGAGCCUGCGGUCUGAGGAGAAGAUGAUGCACAUUUUGCUUCUCAAGUGAUCUGGGCCUUUUCUCAGGCUGAGAUGCAUUGCUUUGACAUCACAUGUAGGUUUUCUGCUUUGAUGCUGGUGCCUGGACAGCAGAGGAGGUGUUUCCAAGGCAGCCCCUUGGUCCUCUGUAGUUCCUGCAUAGUUUUUGAUGCUGUGGAUGGAUGGUUGCAUUUUUGGGUACCCUGAGCUGACCUGGCCCUGCUCCUGGGAGUGCUGGUCCAGUGGAUGUGAGGGAACAUGCCUAAGCAGCUGUGGGAGCUGAUGCCCUAAGUGAGGAGUUGCCUCAAUGGCCUGCAAGCAGAGGUUGAGAGGGAUGGAGAAGGGACUAAAUCCUCCUGAGUAUGUCCAUGCCUUCAGAGCUGUGAUGAGCACCCCUGGGUCAGUCUGUGACCCCCAGCACCUCGUGCCCCCAUGUAUCUCAUCCAUAGGCUUCCUAAACUGCACCCUCACACCUACUACUUUGCAAACAUAAUUUAUAUCAUGUUUCUGCUAUAUGCAAAGAUAUGAGAGUUUCUGACGAGGGCAGGAGGGGACCCAGCUUCAACAACUCAUUUUAAAUGAUCACUGCAGCAACGAAAACUCAGUUGC
ensembl:lncRNA